GACGAACGCUGGCGGCGUGCUUAACACAUGCAAGUCGAACGGAAAGGCCCUGCUUUUGUGGGGUGCUCGAGUGGUGAACGGGUGAGUAACACGUGAGUAACCUGCCCUUGACUUUGGGAUAACUUCAGGAAACUGGGGCUAAUACCGGAUAGGAGCUCCUGCUGCAUGGUGGGGGUUGGAAAGUUUCGGCGGUUGGGGAUGGACUCGCGGCUUAUCAGCUUGUUGGUGGGGUAGUGGCUUACCAAGGCUUUGACGGGUAGCCGGCCUGAGAGGGUGACCGGCCACAUUGGGACUGAGAUACGGACCAGACUCCUACGGGAGGCAGCAGGGGGGAAUAUUGCACAAUGGGCGGAAGCCUGAUGCAGAAACGCCGCGUGCGGGAUGACGGCCUUCGGGUUGUAAACCGCUUUAGCCUGUGACGAAGCGUGAGUGACGGUAAUGGGUAAAGAAGCACCGGCUAACUACGUG
rnacentral:rRNA from 1 species